UGUCUGGAAGUGGCACACUGCUCAGUAACACGUAGCUAACCUACCCUUAGGACGUGGAUACCCCCGAGAAAUUGGGGUUAAUCCGCGAUAGAUGUAAUGUCCUGGAAUGGUAUUACGUCUAAAGGUAUUUCAUACAUGUUUGAAAUAUGCCUAAGGAUGGGGCUGCGGCCGAUCAGGCUGUUGGUGAGGUAAUGGCUCACCAAACCUUUGACCGGUACGGGCCAUGAGAGUGGUAGCCCGGAGAUGGACACUGAGACAAGGGUCCAGGCCCUAAGGGGCGCAGCAACCGCGAAACCUCCACAAUGCACUCACGUGCGAUGGGGCUAUCUCGAGUGCCACCUGAUGAAGGUGGCUUUUCCUUGGUAUUCAAAGCCUUGGGAAUAAGAGGGGGGCAAGACUGGUGUCAGCCGCCGCGGUAACACCAGCCCCUCGAGUGGUGGGGAUGAUUAUUUGGCCUAAAGCGUCCGUAGCCGGCCGUGUAAGUCUCCCGUUAAAUCCAGCGUCUCAAGCGUUGGACUGCGGGAGAUACUGUACGGCUAGAGAGUGGGAGAGGUCAGCGGUAUUCUGGGGGUAGGGGCGAAAUCCUUUGAUCCCCGGAGGACCACCAGUGGCGAAGGCUGCUGACUAGAACACGUCUGACGGUCAGGGACGAAAGCUGGGGUAGCGAACCGGAUUAGAUACCCGGGUAGUCCCAGCCGUAAACGAUGCAUGCUAGGUGUUGGGUUGGCCACGCGCCACCCCAGUGCCGCAGGGAAGCCGUUAAGCAUGCCGCCUGGGAAGUACGAUCGCAAGAUUGAAACUUAAAGGAAUUGGCGGGGGAGCACCACCAGGCGUGAAGCCUGCGGUUUAAUUGGAGUCAACGCCGGGAACCUUACCGGGAGCGACAGCAGAGUGAAGGCCAGAUUGAAGAUCUUGCCAGACGAGCUGAGAGGAGGUGCAUGGCCGUCGCCAGUUCGUGCCGUGAGGUGUUCUCUUAAGUGAGAUAACGAACGAGACCCGUGCCACAUGUUGCCACCAGUAUCUAAAGGAUAGCUGAGCACUCUUGUGGGACCGCAGCCGAUAAGGCUGAGGAAGGUACGGGCAACGGCAGGUCAGUAUGCCCCGAAUCUCCCGGGCCACACGCGGGCUGCAAUGGUAUAGACAGAGGGCUGCCACCCCGAAAGGGGGAGCCAAUCCCUAAACUGUACCUCAGUUGGGA
rnacentral:rRNA from 1 species